UAUGAUCUCUUGUGUUGAACUUCUGAAUAGUUUCAAAUGUAGAUUAUUUUAAUUUAAUUGUUAUAAUUGCAUUGAUGCAGAAAAGUGUUUGAUUGUCAGCAUGUUUAGAUUUUGUAGGCCGAAUAUUUUCAAAUGUAGAUUAUUAAUGGUUUAUGAUCUGUUUUUUGAUAUGCAUGUAGUUUUAAAAGUGUGUAAUAACUCAAACAAACAGCAUGAUUGUGAUGUGUUUUCAGUGUGUGUGUGUGUUUGUGUGUAUUAUUCGAGGUCUGUGUGUUCUGUAGGCUCCACCUGUUUCAGUGCGGUUCUCCUUCAGGUCCUGGAGAUGUGAGUUUUGAGUGGCGUGUGAACGGCCGGAGACUUGAGUCUGGCAUCACCGAACAUAGACGUGUGUUUUCCCAUGAUGCCGUUGUGCUGAGCAGCUGGAUGAAGGCCGAGGCUCUGAAUGAAGAUGUCCAGUAUGAAUGUAAAGCUCUGUCCAGAACCGGGAACAACACUUCCAGAGUCACACUACGAUCGUCCAGCAGAGAUGAGGCUGAUGUUUGUCACACAGAUGUGGAAGACUGGAAAACUGCAAUGUCUGAACACAACACACUUCUGCAGCAGUGGAGGAAAGCCUGGGAAGGCUGUGAUGGACAAGGUGUUCUCUGAAGAGCCUCAUUAUCAUUCAUCAUGACAUCAUUUCCUGACUCCGGGGACAGCAGCUUGGAUGAAAACACACACACACACACACACACACACACACACACACACACACACACACACUGCUCCUGGUCUGCAAAUCACAGAGCCUGUCAGUGAGUGUCCUGAAGAUAGAAGAGGACGACGAGCACAGACUGAUGAUUGAUUUGAUUGAUUGAUUGAUUGAUUGAUUGAUUGAUUGAUUGAUGGAUGGAUGGAUGGAUGGAUGGAU